AGAGUUUGAUCAUGGCUCAGGAUGAACGCUAGCGAUAGGCUUAACACAUGCAAGUCGAGGGGCAACACGUUUCAGCAAUGGGAUGGUGGCGACCGGCGGACGGGUGAGUAACACGUAUGCGACCUGCCCUUGUUCGGGGGAUAACCCGUCGAAAGACGGCCUAAUACCCCAUGGUAUUGUAAGACUGCCUGGUUUUACGAUUAAAGGAAUUAUCCGAAGAAGGAUGGGCAUGCGUUCCAUUAGGCAGUUGGCGGGGUAACGGCCCACCAAACCGACGAUGGAUAGGGGUUCUGAGAGGAAGGUCCCCCACACUGGUACUGAGACACGGACCAGACUCCUACGGGAGGCAGCAGUGAGGAAUAUUGGUCAAUGGGCGCGAGCCUGAACCAGCCAAAUCGCGUGAAGGAAGCAGGUAUUAUGUAUUGUAAACUUCUUUUGACAGGGAAUAACGGGUUCUACGUGUAGGAUCGUGCAGGUACCUGUCGAAUAAGCAUCGGCUAACUCCGUGCCAGCAGCCGCGGUAAUACGGAGGAUGCGAGCGUUAUCCGGAUUUAUUGGGUUUAAAGGGUGCGUAGGCGGGGCGUCAAGUCAGCGGUGAAAGUUUGCGGCUCAACCGUAAAAUUGCCAUUGAAACUGACGUUCUUGAGCACAGACAAGGUGGGUGGAAUUCGUGGUGUAGCGGUGAAAUGCAUAGAUAUCACGAAGAACUCCGAUUGCGUAGGCAGCUCACUGGGCUGUGACUGACGCUGAGGCACGAAGGUGCGGGGAUCGAACAGGAUUAGAUACCCUAGUAGUCC
rnacentral:rRNA from 1 species